CCUACGGGUGGCAGCAGUGGGGAAUAUUGCACAAUGGGCGAAAGCCUGAUGCAGCAACGCCGCGUGAGCGAUGAAGGCCUUCGGGUCGUAAAGCUCUGUCCACAAGGAAGAUAAUGACGGUACUUGAGGAGGAAGCCACGGCUAACUACGUGACAGCAGCCGCGGUAAUCCGUAGGGGGCUAGCGUUAUCCGGAUUUACUGGGCGUAAGGGGGGCGUAGGUGGUUUCUUAAGUCGGGGGUAAAAGGCUACGGCUCAACCGUAGUAAGCCUUUGAAACUGGGAAACUUGAGUGCAGGAGAGGAGAUUGGAAUUCCUAGUGUAGCGGUGAAAUGCGUAGAUAUUAGGAGGAACACCAGUUGCGAAGGCGGCUCUCUGGACUGUAACUGACACUGAGGCACGAAAGCGUGGGGAGCAAACAGGAUUAGAUACCCUUGUAGUC
rnacentral:rRNA from 1 species